rnacentral:tRNA from 1 species
GGGGGUGUAGCUCAUUGGUAGUGCUGUGCUUAGCAUCCACAAGUCCCUGGGUUCCAUUCCUAGCAGCUCCC